GGGUCGUUAGCUCAGAUGGUAGAGCAGGGGACUCUUAAUCCCAAGGUCGAUGGUUCGAUCCCAUCACGACCCA
rnacentral:tRNA from 1 species